rnacentral:lncRNA from 1 species
UGUUUUUAGUGUCUUAUCUGAGAAACUGUUGCCAAAUCUAAGGCCAUGAAGAUUUACUCCUAUAUUAUCAUAAAUUAAGUGGAAGCACUGGUAAAGCAACAAUUAAUGCACCAUCAUUGGGCUCUGGAUGGAUGACUGGGAGUGCAACUGUGAGUGAUAUAGGAAAUCUGGGAAGCAGGAAGGGAAAUGAGGUUUGAUGUGGUUGAGCAGAGUAGGAGGUGAGUACAUCUGAUUAUUCUCUUCAGUGGAUGAUUGAGGA